rnacentral:rRNA from 1 species
AGAGUUUGAUCAUGGCUCAGAUUGAACGUUGGCGGCAGGCCUAAAACAUGCAAGUCGAACGGUAACAGCGGAAGCUUGCUUCCGGCUGACGAGUGGCGGACGGGUGAGUAACACGUAGGAAUCUACCUAGUAGUGGGGGACAACCCGGGGAAACCCGGGCUAAUACCGCAUACGCUCUACGGAGGAAAGCAGGGGAUCUUCGGACCUUGCGCUAUUGGAGGAGCCUGCGUCGGAUUAGCUAGUUGGUGGGGUAAAGGCCUACCAAGGCGACGAUCCGUAGCUGGUCUGAGAGGACGAUCAGCCACACUGGAACUGAGACACGGUCCAGACUCCUACGGGAGGCAGCAGUUAGGAAUCUUGGGCAAUGGGCGCAAGCCUGACCCAGCCAUGCCGCGUGUGUGAAGAAGGCCUUCGGGUUGUAAAGCACUUUCAGCGGUGAAGAAAAGCUCAGGGCCAAUAUCCUUGAGUCUUGACGUUAACCGCAGAAGGAGCACCGGCUAACUCCGUGCCAGCAGCCGCGGUAAUACGGAGGGUGCGAACGUUAAUCGGAAUCACUGGGCGUAAAGCGCGCGUAGGCGGUUUGUUAAGCGGGAUGUGAAAGCCCCGGGCUUAACCUGGGAAUUGCAUUUCAAACUGGCGAACUAGAGUGCGGUAGAGGGAGGUAGAAUUUCCUGUGUAGCGGUGAAAUGCGUAGAUAUAGGAAGGAAUACCAGUGGCGAAGGCGGCCUCCUGGAUCGACACUGACGCUAAGGCGCGAAAGCGUGGGGAGCAAACAGGAUUAGAUACCCUAGUAGUCC